rnacentral:snRNA from 1 species
GUGCUCCCUUCAGCAGCACAGACACUAAAAUUGGAAUGAUACGGAGAAGGUUAGCAUGGUCCCUGCACAAGGAAGACACGUAUGCACGAAGCAUUCCAUAUUUUU